UGCAAUCUAUGAUGCAAACUACCAUAUCUAUGAUUUUCCUAUGAUUAUUGUUUAAAAAUUCACCAUCUUUCGGCUGAGGUUGCA